GCCCGUGUAGCUCAGUUGGUAGAGCAGCGCAUUCGUAACGCGAAGGUCGCAGGUUCGACUCCUGUCUCGGGCA
rnacentral:tRNA from 1 species